UGCCCAUUGUAAAAACACUUCCUUCUCUCAGGUCCAAGCCUGAUGCCAUUUACCCUUGCAGCAAACUCAAGAGGUGAGUAUCUGGAAGCCCAUUUCACAGUGGAGUAAACUGAGGUUGGGAGCAGGGAAGUCACGGGCUGAGACACCAGAGGCACUGGAGCCCCACGUCUAGAGCCAGGCUGCCUGCGUGUGAAUCCUGGAUACACAGUGUGUGAGAGCCUGCAAGUGGUUUUUGAAAAUGUGUAUUUAAAAAAAUUUUUUUAAUUUUAUAUUUUAUAAAUAAUAUUUUACUUUUUUUUUUUUUUUUUUUUUUGAGAUGGAGUUUUGCUCUUGUCACCCAGGCUGGAGUGCAAUGGUGCGGUCUUGGGCCACUGCAACCUCUGCCUCCUGGCUUCAAGCGAUUCUCCUGCCUCAGCCUCCUGAGUAGCUGGGAUUACAAGCACACACCACCACGCCCAGCUAAUUUUUAUAUUUUUGGUAGAGACGGGGUUUUGCCAUGUUGGCCUGGCUGAUCUCGAACUCCUGACCUCAGGUGAGCCACCUGCCAGUGUUCCAGAGUGCUGGGAUUACUAUAGGCAUGAGCCACCGCACCUGACCUGUGUGUUGUGUUUUCAUCUUCCGUGUCCUGCAUUCUCACAUACAUUGUACUCAUGCUGUUACUGAAUUGUGUACCAGGCAUCUGUAGCACUUUUCAGAAAUUAUCAUAUACUCAUGACAAGCUUGCAAGAUGCAUGUUAUUAUUAACCCCUCUUACAGCUGAUGGAACUGAGGCCCGGGGGGAUGAUCACAUACAGGAGGUGGUGAAGCCAGGGUUUGGCUACAGGCUUUCUGCCUGCAGAGUUAUAAACCAUAUUCUCCUCCCUACAAACUUAUAUAAGGACAUUAAAAAAUAAUAAUAAAAUCAAAACCAUGUGCAUCAAUUUACCUUUUGUCACCUAAUAUUUCAUGGGCAUCUUGCCAGGGCAGUACAUCUAAUUCUAAUUUAUUCUUUAUAAUAGUUGCACAGUAUGCUAUAGUAUCAGUUCAGCAUUGUAGAUCUUUUAGUUUUUGAAGGUUUUCCAGUAUUUUCCCCACACUAUGCAAAAUAUUUUCAGACAUAUAUCCCUAUGCACUGGUGCAUUUAUAAGUAAAUUAUAAACACAGAGUUAUUAGGUCAAUGAGUAUACAUAUUUAAUUAAUAUUACCAGAUUGUUUUCCCCAAAAAGCUAUUAAUAAUUCAUAUUUUUCACCAGUAAUGUUUUGGAGCCUCCUCACCCCGACCCCAGAAGUGGGUGUUAUCACUUCUUUUUUUUUUUUUUUUUGAGUCAGAGUCUCGCUCUGUCACUCAGGCUGGAGUGCAGUGGCAUGAUCUUGUCUCACUGCAACCUCCACCUCCUGGGUUCAAGCCAUUCUCCUGCCUCAGCCUCCCAAGUAGCUGGGAUUACAGGCGUGUGCCACCACACCCGGCUAAUUUUUGUAUUUGUAGUAGAGAUGGGGUUUCGCCAUGUUGGCCAAGCUGAUCUCGAACUCCGAGCUCAGGUGAUCCACCCACCUCAGCCUCCCAAAGUGCUGGGAUUAUAGGCAUGAGCCACCUUGCCUGGCCAGUGUUAUCACUUCUUAAAUUUAUAAGUAUAAAGUGACAGCUCCUUUGGCAUUUUUAUACCCACUCAGGAGACUGGGUAUUUUUCUGUAUUUGCUGUCUAUAUUUGGGCUUGCUCUUUUGUCAAUUACCUAUUCAUAUCCAUUGCCCAUUAAAAAAAAAUUGGGUUGUUUGCCUUUUUGUUAUUAUUUGCAAAAUGAAUAAAAGAAUCCCAUAAUUGGGAUUAUUGAGUUCUUGGGUGUGUACAUUUUGUGUAUUUCAGUUUUUUUUAGAAGCAUUAAAGAAUAAUGUAAUAUAAAAAGUGUAUAAACACAUUUUUUAUAGAGUUGAUAGACUUAAUAGAGUAGUGAGCUUAUGAAUUUUCACGAAGUGAAUCCACCUGUGUAUCCAGUGCCUGGAUUAAGAAGUAGAGCUACACUUAAAAUUUUAAUAGCAAUUGGUAAAUACAAUACCAAAAAGAUUUUAGUAUUUAUUUUUCCCACAAUGUGAUCAGUUUUUAAAUGUUUUACUAAUCCAAAGAACAAGAUCUCAUUAUUGCUUUAUUUGCAUUUCCUUGAACAUUAGAGAGGUGAUUAUCUUUUUACAUAUUUAUGGCUAUCAGCAUCCAUCUUCAAACGGUCUGUUCAUCUCUUCUGAUCAUUUUCUUGUUGAGUUGUAUAUGGGGGAUAUUAACCCUAUGUCUUAUCGAAUGUGCUGCAAACCUUUUCCUCUAAUAUGUUAAAAAAUAUCUAGGUUUUUCUUUUAUGGUUUCUGUGUUUCCUGUCUUGCCUUAAGAGGGACUUUUCACAUUAAGAUUGUAAAACUUUUUCUAUUUAAAAAAGAUUAUUUUGUGUUUUACUUUUAUCUUUACCUCGGCUAAAAUGUAUACUUGCAUGUGGUGUGAGGUAAGGGUCUGACCUUGUUUCCAGGUGGCUAGCCGUUUGCCCAGGUUCUGUUUAUUAUAUAGGUAGACCUGGUUUUAAAUUUCCAUUCUGCCCCUUAUUAGCUGCAUGAUCUUGGGCAAUUGGAUAGCAAUUGACACAGUCGACCACUUCCUCCUUCUCAAAAUACUUAUUUCCCUUAGCUUUUGUGAUGUAAGACUGCCUUGAUUUUCCUUCUGCUUCUCUGGCUGGUCUUUUUUUUUCUCUCUCUUUUUUUCAGAGUAAUUCUUCCCUCCUGGACCCUCACACCAUAUGUUUUGUGCUGAGUGAUCUUAUCCACAUAAUUGCUUCAGCCACAGUGAAAAUGCAGAGGAUUCCUGUAUUUCAGUGUCUAGUCUGGAGCUCUCAGUUGAGUUCUGGAUCUGUGUAUCCACCUGGCCACUUGACGCCUCCACUUGGAUGUCCCACAGGCACCUCCAAUGCAAAAUGACUCAUGACCUUCUCCUCCACAUCAGCACUCUCACAGGAGUUCCUGUCUAAGGGAAUGGUAUCACCAUCUUCCCAUUACAAAAGCCAUACAUUUGAGCACCAUCCUUGACUAGUUCCUGUUCCUUCCUCUGUUGUACCCAGCACCCAAAAGAAUGCCCAGCACAUGGGCCUUUUGCAUUGUGGAUGAUGGAGCGGCUCAUAUAGUCCAUAAGUUUUGUGCGUAGCUGUGUACCCUGUCCCUGUGAGCUGGUUCUGCCCGGCACCUCGGUGACCUCGAGGAAAGAAGCUGAGAGACAGAGUCUUGCUUUGUCACCCAGGCUGGAGGGCAGUGGCACCAUCAUAGCUCACUGCAGACUCGAACUCCUGGGCUCAAGGGAUCCUCCUGCCUCGGCUUCCCAAAAUGGAUGAGAACUCAAGCAAAAAGUGCCAGCAGCCACAGAGGUUUCCAGCCAGAAAGAGCAACACCCCAAAGAUUCCAUAACAAUACCAGAAGGAAAAAAAAAAUAGAGAAAUGAAUGGAAGAAAUGUUUGAAACAAUAAUGACUGAGAAUUUCCCCAAGUUAAUGUCAGACACCAAACCACAGAUCCAGGAAGCUCAGAGAACACCAAGCAAGAUAAAUGCCAACAAAGCAAGACCUCAUCUCCUGAAAGGUACUCACUUUCUGGGAGACACAGAUCCCCUCCUGGAAGAGGCUCAUGACCACAUGGCAGGAGUUCCUUUCCGAGACUGCCAAGCACCUGUAGCAGUGCAGACCCUGAGCUCUCUUCAUGCACAGCAGGGCCACCAGCAGGACCAGGGCAAAGGUCUUCAUGGCAUAGGAACUGCUCAUUCUUCCUCUCUUGCCAGUCAUUUAGUUUCAAUAAACUAAAAUUUGUUCUUAGUUUUGUAGCUUAAAAAAUCCUACAAAUAAGCCAGUGCAAUU